ACGAGAGGACCGGGAUGGACAAACCUAUUGUGCACCAGUUGUCACGCCAGUGGCACAGCUGGGUAGCGAAGUUUGGAUGGGAUAAACGCUGAAGGCAUCUAAGCGUGAAACCCACCUCAAGAUAAGAUAUCCCUCAUUGAUAAGACCCCUUGAAGACUACAAGGUAGAUAGGUCGGGUGUGUAAGCACAGUAAUGUGUUGAGCUUACCGAUACUAAUAGGUCGAAGGCUUAUUCGU
rnacentral:rRNA from 1 species